rnacentral:rRNA from 1 species
UACGUAGGGUGCAAGCGUUAAUCGGAAUUACUGGGCGUAAGGCGUGCGCAGGCGGUUCUAUAAGGCAGAUGUGAAAUCCCCGGGCUCAACCUGGGAACUGCAUUUGUGACUGUAGAGCUGGAGUACGGUAGAGGGGGAUGGAAUUCCGCGUGUAGCAGUGAAGUGCGUAGAUAUGCGGAGGAACACCGAUGGCGAAGGCAAUCCCCUGGACCUGUACUGACGCUCAUGCACGAAAGCGUGGGGAGCAAACAGG